UACGUAGGGCGCAAGCGUUGUCCGGAAUUAUUGGGCGUAAAGAGCUCGUAGGCGGUUUGUCGCGUCUGCUGUGAAAGCCCGGGGCUCAACCCCGGGUCUGCAGUGGGUACGGGCAGACUAGAGUGCAGUAGGGGAGACUGGAAUUCCUGGUGUAGCGGUGAAAUGCGCAGAUAUCAGGAGGAACACCGAUGGCGAAGGCAGGUCUCUGGGCUGUAACUGACGCUGAGGAGCGAAAGCAUGGGGAGCGAACAGGAUUAGAUACCCCCGUAGUCC
rnacentral:rRNA from 1 species